UCCGAAGGGGGCUAGCGUUGUUCGGAAUCACUGGGCGUAAAGCGCACGUAGGCGGACUUUCAAGUCAGGGGUGAAAUCCCGGGGCUUAACCUCGGAACUGCCUUUGAUACUGUUGGUCUCGAGUCCGAUAGAGGUGGGUGGAAUUCCUAGUGUAGAGGUGAAAUUCGUAGAUAUUAGGAAGAACACCGGUGGCGAAGGCGGCCCACUGGAUCGGUACUGACGCUGAGGUGCGAAAGCGUGGGGAGAAAACAGG
rnacentral:rRNA from 1 species